UUAAAUAAGUUGGUUUCAGGUGCCCCAUGAAAUCGGGGAGAAUAGGGAAUCAGGUGUAAAUCCUGAACGGUCCCGCCACUGUAACCGGGGAGCAUAGCGGCAUAGGAUAACCACCGUUAAACCGGGAAGGUUGCUGCAUGUAUUGAACCGGAGUCAGGAGACCUGCCUGAAAACCAAAAACCUU
rnacentral:ncRNA from 2 species